CUUGACCUUACUCACUCCCUUAGUCAUGGAGUCUCUACUUUUAGGUCUGCUGUGGUGGCGGGAUCCUGGGAGUGUCAGGUGCUCUCCCAGGACACGGCCCUCCUGCUGGGCCAGUGCUGCCCGUGCUCGGUGUGCAGAGUCAGACCCGGACGGCCUGCAGUGCUCAUGGCCACGGCUCUAGCAUGGAGCUCAUCUCCUGGCCACGGAGGAAGACGCAGGAAAAGGGUGGAAGCCAAUGACUGAUUUCUGGUCAUCUUUGUCAGCAUGAGCAUUGGAUGCUGUGUGUCUGCCUGUUAGCAUGGCCUCCCUGCGCCCCACAACAUGCUAACAUGCUGAUAUUCAUAAUGGACAUGGAAGCAAGGAAUCUUUGGCCAUAUUUAGUGUCUCCAAAAUUAAUUUUUUUAAAAUUUGAAAUUUAUUUAACUUUAUAACUAGAUAAAUUCAAUCAUUGGUGAUUAAAAAUAGACUUUGAGUUUUAAAUGUCUCUAGUUGUGUGAUAACUCACAUAAAAUUCUCACUGGAGUUCAUGUUAUGAGGUUUUAUUGAAAAUUAAAAUGCGAUUGCCACCUAGAAACAGAGGGAAAGCAAAACAAUACCCUUAUCCAUUUUCAAGUAAGCUUCACUUAUAAAACACUAUCUUGAGAAUUAUAAUUCCACUGAGCUUCCAACUACAGUGUUGAAAUCAAGUGAGACACAAUUCAAAAGUACUUUAGAAAAGAGUUGAAAUUUACUGUAUCUGGGUUAAUAGAUGAUAUUGUUAAACAAUGAUAACAAAACUAUCUAGAGAUCAAAUAAGAUGGAAGCAGUUUACUAAUAAGGUCCAUAUUUACAUACAUCCACUUAUGAAAUGCUAUUCUAAAGUGAUAAUCUUACAAAGGCUCCAGUUAAGGUGUACAACAACAUAAAUAACAUCAGUAAAACCAAAAAGUAAAAAUGUCAAAAUUAUUUUCAGAGGAAGAUAAAGUAAAUUUUUUGCUGUUUAUGGAUGAUUUUAAUGUACUCAUUAAUAGCAGUAAAGAUAUUGUAAUUAC